AGAGAGCCAUUUUAAACACCCCCAUCUUCUACAGAACUGAAAAGAGAGACAUUCACCUCCAUCUUCUUCAGAUCUGCCGCGCCGCCCCCAUCGCCGACGCCAUUGCUGAUGCUGCUCGUCCGCCAAUGCCAUUCGCCUCCAUCUUCUUCUGGUGACGACAACGACCGGUCGGCUGAGAGCUCUGCAACGUAGGCCUCCUCUCCAUUGAACCCAUCUGUGAGAUAAGUUUUAUUUUUUAAUUUUCAGCUCUCCUCCUUCGUUCUUCAGAUCUGUAUAGCAACGAUGGAGAGAGGAAGAACGACAGCGGAGGAGAACAAAGAACUUUUACUCUUGGCGUGCGGCUCAGAUCUGGGCGUGCUCAUCAAUCUUGAGAUGAUAAUCUCUUCUUUUAAAAUUCUUGUUUUUUUUUUGAUUAUUUAUGAAGAGAUUCUGGAGGUGUGUUUUUUAGAAUUAAACUUGUCACUUUUAUUUUGAAUAUUAGUGUUUUUGUGGCUAUUGUUCUUCAAAAAUGAUAGGAGGGUCAAGGAAGACAGAAUCGGAAGCUUGCGGUGGCUCAUCACAGAAGCCUUGAUGGGAAAUCUGAAUCCAUAGUGGCUCAAAAUACAAAGGGACUAUAUAUUGAUGAGUUCAGAAGACAAUUUAAUUGGGGAAGUGACUUCUAAUCUUAUGGGAUCAGAUUUAUGGCUACUGUGGCACUCCAGCCACCUGGAGUGGCAAUUAUAGAAGGAUCAAAGCAUGGAUACCAAAGCACCAAUCCAUGCCGUUGAAGAGCACGUCAUAUGUGAUACAACAUAUUAAUGGAAUGCCAAUGGAUUGGAAGGAGCAUAUGGAUAAAGUACAUUAGCUCUUCUCAAGGGUUACCCACUUUAACAAGAAGAAUGGAAGGCAGACAAUACUACAACUUCAAAUAUGUGAUGGACUAUAG